rnacentral:rRNA from 1 species
CGUGUGCGCGAGUCAUUGGGUGUUAAAACCUAAAGGCGUAAUGAAAGUGAAGGAAACUUUCGUUUUCGAGGGAGGAUGGAUUAGGUCCCUCUCCAGGGCCGGCCUCGCACUCCCGGGGCGUCUCUAUCUCAUUACGAGAGGAGGCGCACCUAGAGCGUACACGCUGAUACCCGAAAGAUGGUGAACUAUGCCUGGCCAGGACGAAGCCAGGGGAAACCCUGGUGGAGGUCCGCAGCGAUUCUGACGUGCAAAUCGAUCGUCGGAGCUGGGUUUAGGGGCGAAAGACCAAUCGAACCAUCUAGUAGCUGGUUCCCUCUGAAGUUUCCCUCAGGAUAGCUUGCGCUCGGAAUGAAACGAGUCUCAUCCGGUAGAGCGAAUGAUUAGAGGCCUUGGGGUCGAAACGACCUCAACCUAUUCUCAAACUCCAAAUAGAUGAGAACCCCGGCUUUCUUGAAAGUUUUUCUAUGAAGCCGGGGGCUUGGAUCAGAGUGCCAAGUGGGSCCAAUUUUUGG